AUCUACUCAAAAGACACCAGAAGCUCAUCUCAGGAUCAGAGCCUAACACACAGACCGAAAAUAUUGUGGUUGACAGCAAUAUAAAAAGAGUUUGCUACUAUGCACUACCUCAUGUGAACACUACUGUUGCCACCUUGAGCCCAAGGGAUAUACCACCAGACUUGUGUACACACAUUAUAAUUAUAGGAGCUGAGAUACAUGAUAAUAAGAUUGUUCCUGUUGAAGAAAAUGAUUUGAAGGUAUUUGCUGAAGUAGUGGCACUUAAAGAAGUAAAUCCCAGUCUGCGUGUCUUGCUGUGUUUAGGAGGAGACU